rnacentral:rRNA from 1 species
AACGAACGCUGGCGGCAGGCUUAACACAUGCAAGUCGAACGAGUAAGAGCUGUAGCAAUACAGAAUUCUGCUAGUGGCGCACGGGUGAGUAACGCGUGGGAAUAUGCCCUUUAGUACGGAAUAACAGUUGGAAACGACUGCUAAUACCGUAUACGCCCUCGGGAAGGAUUAUCGCUAAGGAUUAGCCCGCGUGAGAUUAGGUAGUUGGUGGGUAAGUGGCCUACCAAGCCUACGAUCUCUAGCCGGUCUGAGAGGACGAUCGGCCACACUGGAACUGAGACACGGUCCAGACUCCUACGGGAGGCAGCAGUGGGGAAUAUUGGACAAUGGGCGAAAGCCUGAUCCAGCCAUGCCGCGUGAGUGAUGAAGGCCUUAGGGGUUGUU